rnacentral:lncRNA from 1 species
CUCUGGGUCAUCAUCCUGGUCUCCAACUCUCCCCAUGCUGUGACUACAGGGAAAACUCCAGGAAAAUAAGAAAUAUUUUAUGUCAUUGCUGUAUUCCAACUACUGCAAUUGUUUUCACCUUGUUUUACUGUUAUAUUGACCUUCACCCAAAUAUUUGCAUAGCACAAAUAUAGUAAGUAAAUUAAUUUCAAAAAGUGAGAAAUCUGAUUUCAUUCCAACCUGAGGGAAUUCAAAACCAUCCUUAUAUUUUCUGAAAAGUCUUCUAACAGACAUGCUGUUAAGAAUAUUUGAGCUUUGGUGCUAAUAGAAAAUGAAGGCAUAUAGAAAUUUUAAGAAAAUUGAGUCAUUGAAGCUGGGGCUCUACAACCAGUGAUGCAGAACCCAGGGAUCCAGAAGCACAGCAUCCCAGCAGCUGCCCUGCAGAGAAAAUAAAUAUGUGGACCCCUACCUGAACA